rnacentral:rRNA from 1 species
GACGAACGCUGGCGGCGUGCUUAACACAUGCAAGUCGAACGGAAAGGCCCUGCUUUUGUGGGGUGCUCGAGUGGCGAACGGGUGAGUAACACGUGAGUAACCUGCCCUUGACUUUGGGAUAACUUCAGGAAACUGGGGCUAAUACCGGAUAGGAUCUCCUGCUGCAUGGUGGGGGUUGGAAAGUUUCGGCGGUUGGGGAUGGACUCGCGGCUUAUCAGCUUGUUGGUGGGGUAGUGGCUUACCAAGGCUUUGACGGGUAGCCGGCCUGAGAGGGUGACCGGCCACAUGGGGACUGAGAUACGGCCCAGACGCCUACGGGAGGCAGCAGUGGGGAAUAUUGCACAAUGGGCGGAAGCCUGAUGCAGCAACGCCGCGUGCGGGAUGACGGCCUUCGGGUUGUAAACCGCUUUCGCCUGUGACGAAGCGGGAGUGACGGUAAUGGGUAAAGAAGCACCGGCUAACUACGUG